AUUGAACGCUGGCGGCAGGCCUAACACAUGCAAGUCGAGCGGAGGAAGGGAGCUUGCUCCUGGAUUCAGCGGCGGACGGGUGAGUAAUGCCUAGGAAUCUGCCUGGUAGUGGGGGAUAACGUCCGGAAACGGGCGCUAAUACCGCAUACGUCCUGAGGGAGAAAGAGGGGGAUCUUCGGACCUCACGCUAUCAGAUGAGCCUAGGUCGGAUUAGCUAGUUGGUGGGGUAAAGGCCUACCAAGGCGACGAUCCGUAACUGGUCUGAGAGGAUGAUCAGUCACACUGGAACGGAGACACGCUCCAGACUCCUCCGGGAGGCAGCAGUGGGGAAUAUUGGACAAUGGGCGAAAUCCUGAUCCAGCCAUGCCGCGUGUGUGAAGAAGUUCUUCGGAUUGUAAAGCACUUUAAGUUGGGAGGAAGGGCAGUAAGUUAAUACCUUGCUGUUUUGACGUUACCAACAGAAUAAGCACCGGCUAACUUCGUG
rnacentral:rRNA from 1 species